CACCGCGGUUAUACGAGAGGCCCAAGUUGAUGACCACCGGCGUAAAGGGUGGUUAAGUUAAAACUCACACUAAAGUCAAACAUCUUCAAGAUUGUUAUACAUACCCGAAGACAGGAAGUUCAACCACGAAAGUGACUUUAUAUGAUCUGACCCCACGAAAGCUAAGGAA
rnacentral:rRNA from 1 species